rnacentral:rRNA from 1 species
CCUACGGGAGGCAGCAGUGAGGAAUAUUGGUCAAUGGACGAGAGUCUGAACCAGCCAAGUAGCGUGAAGGAUGACUGCCCUAUGAGUUGUAAGCUUCUUUUAUAUGGGAAUAAACUGUUCCACGUGUGAGAUUUUGUAUGUACCAUAUCAAUAAGGAUCGGCUAACUCCAUUCCAGCAGCCGCGGUAAUACGGAGGAGGCGAGCGUUAUCCGGAAUGACUGGGCGUAAAGGGUGCGUAGGUGGUUUGGCAAGGUAGUAGCGUAACGCCAAGGCUCAACCUUGGAACUACUACUAAAACUGUUGGACUUGAGUGCAGGAGGGGCAACCGGAAUUCCUAGUGGAGCGGUGGAAUGCGUAGAUAUUAGGAGGAAAACCAGUGGCGGAGGCGGGUUGCUAGACUGUAACUGACACUGAGGCACGAAAGCGUGGGGAGCAAACAGGAUUAGAUACCCGAGUAGUC